CGGGUGCGCCUGCUGCUACGCAUUUCAAAUUUUUCACUUUUAUACAUCUCGUUUUUAAUAUUUUUUCAAGUGGCCCCCAUUAAACGUGGAGCACUGGCCUAAUUGACGCUUCGCUCCACUGUCAUAUUUACCUGAUGUAACGACGCUAAUAGCAUUAAGGGAUUAUUUAUAGCUGCCCCAACGAGUCUUCUACAUCAAGUAAUCGCAUCUAAUUGUGGUCAAGUCUGCAUGCAGUUCGCUCUCUACUGAAGUGCUGCAUUAUUUACAUAGAGCUCUCGCCUUAACGAGUUGAUGUUUGCUUUCAAUUUGUGUGGCUUACGUCGCCCCUUCAGCUAUGCCUGGCCAAUUAUACAAAAUUUUUAAGACAACAAUCAUUUUUAAUGGCCAUCGGAACUAAGGAAGGCCGUGCUGGGGCAUGGGGAGAGCAUAGAAAAUAGCAUGGGUUGCAUGCCUGAUUGCCUUGCGGCAGGAUACUUGACUGGCCUGGACGCUUAAGCAGAUUGAAACAAUCUCCGGUGUGUGCGGUGCAAAAUGGCGGCUCUGGCGCUUCCGCUGCAUUGAUUUUUGGCUGUCAUGCAUGCAGCUUGGCUGACAAUUGGCAUAAAUUAUGAACAGCAGGAGCAGCAGCAGCAGCAGCAGCAGGAGCAGGAGGAGACUUUGCCGCUGAAAUUGAAAAUUAAGGGGCAGGCUAAGUGGAGCGGGCAGCGGACGUCGCUUGAGUCAAGUAAAUAACAAUCAAAAUCACUUUCGACCCCCAGACGAUUUAUUUGGAGGGACUGAAACAGCAUUAGAGCAGCGCAGAGCAGGCGGAGUCGCCGGAGUCGCUGGAGACAUCUGAAGGCAUCUGGAAUCACAACUAUGAGGCCUUAAUCGCUAGGGCCAGCCUCAUCGCCGUCGUCAGAUCGUCAGAGCGAACAGCCAUGCCUGCCCUCAGUCCGCAGUCCGCAGUCCUUAGCCGCUCGUCUGUCAGCUGCGACGGCCUAAGGCUAUUUUAUUGUUCGAUAAGUUAUCAGCGGUCGAGCAAACAAGCAGCCGAGCAAAAGCAAACGUUGCGGCUAAAACUUGACUGGGUCGGCAUGCCGGACUCGUACUCUGAUUCCGACUCCGACUCUAGCUCUGACUCCGACUCUGACUCUUGGGCAGGCAGUGGGAUUCGAGCUGGGACUGGGACUGGCUCUCACGAUAUCAUAAUUUCACUCGCUCUGAAAGUAACUAUGUUUAUGUUUUGUACGAGCUGCCUAAAUCUAAAUUAAAUGCCUUUUGAGCACAGCAAAAAAAAUGAGAGAGUUGAUCGGACAGACAACGAAUAGUAGUUACCCUUUGGAUAGAGUAAAUGUAAACUGUAUGGAAAAGUGCAGAGGUCGAGUUUAAAAGAGUUAAAAACAGACAGAGAAGAAAUAGGAGAGGAGAGAAUGAGGUGCGAUAGGAGUUGAGAGGAGAGCUAAGAUGAGAUAUUAAACAUGACUGCAUGCGGAUGGGAUAGGAUGUUUGUAAGUAUGUAUGUAUGUA